GGAAGGGGAACUUUGACACCCUCUCCAAGGGUGAGCUGAUGCAGCUGAUGACACAGGAACUUCCAAAUGUCAUCAAGAACACCAAAGAUAAAGCUGCCAUUGAUGACAUAUUCCAAGACUUAGAUCACGAUAAAGACGGACAGGUCUCCUUCGAUGAAUUCGUAGUUCUAAUAUCCAGAGUGCUAAAGACUACCCAUGAGGAAAUCCACCAAGAGUAGGAAGCUCUCGGGCUGGCCCAGCAAUGGCCCGAGGCAGACCUGUCUUCUCUUCACUGACGGCCAGGCUUGCCUGAGGGGAAGACUUAAUAAAUGUAUUCUUGAAAAGUU